GAUGAACGCUGGCGGCGUGCCUAAUACAUGCAAGUCGAGCGAAGCGGGGACGGGGGAGUAACACGUGGGGAACCUCCUAUAAGACUGGGAAAACUUAGGGAAACCGGAGCUAAACCGGAAACUUAUAGAUGGAUGCGCGUUGCAUUAGCUAGUUGGUAAGGUAACGGCUUAGCAAGGCCACGAUGCAUAGCCGACCUGAGAGGAUGAUCGGCCACACUGGAACUGAGACACGGUCCGGACUCCUACGGGAGGCAGCAGUAGGGAAUCUUCCGCAAUGGGGGAAAGCCUGACGGAGCCACGCCGCGUGAGUGAUGAAGGUCUUCGGAUCGUAAAGCUCUGUUAUUAGCGAAGCGUUACCUAAUCAGAAAGCCCCGGCUAACUACGUGCCAGCAGCCGCGGUAAUAC
rnacentral:rRNA from 1 species